UACGGAGGGGGCUAGCGUUGUUCGGAAUUACUGGGCGUAAAGGGCUCGUAGGCGGCCAACUAAGUCGGACGUGAAAUCCCCAGGCUCAACCUGGGAACUGCGUCUGAUACUGGAUGGCUUGAAUCCGGGAGAGGGAUGCAGAAUUCCAGGUGUAGCGGUGAAAUGCGUAGAUAUCUGGAGGAAUACCGGUGGCGAAGGCGGCAUCCUGGACCGGCAUUGACGCUGAGGAGCGAAAGCUAGGGGAGCAAACGGG
rnacentral:rRNA from 1 species